AUAAAGCAUUUCACACAUACUUUGAGAGUUCUGUGUCUUGAUUCAUAUGCAUGUUUUGGUGCAUGAAUGUCUGAUGCAUGUACCGGUAGGCAUCCCGUACCUGUAGCAAAGUGUUGAGAUGCUGAUGUGGAUAGGAGUCUAUGUGAAAUAGGUUGGGAUUUGCAAUAGUAUGCUCUGUUGUUCUAGUAGAUGUAAUUUCUCAUUAGAGUCAAAGUCCUUCGAUUAAGUGUUAAUAUUUGGGUUUUGCUAUUUGUUCUGAUGCCAUGGUGGCUUAAUGAGAACUUUUGAUUUGCAUCUCAACUCAAAGUUUCCUUUUGGCUUUUAUUGUACAGGCUAGUUAUUAUCUUGAAAAAGCGGACUCUGUUUUUGUGGCAGCUCACACAUCUGCGUUGCAAAGUACACAUUUGAUUUGGCAUCAAAACACUGUACAAGAGUUGUGUAUACUGCUUCGAUCAAAACCAUUAGCAACAAAAAAAUACAGGGAUUUUUGUGGGAAAUUUGACGUUGGCCUUCUCACUUGGGAUGUAAGCUUGAGGCCAGAGGCUUAUUAUCUCAUCAUGACCACUGAGAUACUGCGGUCAAUGCUUUAUAGGGAUGCUGACAUCAUACGUGACUUUGAAUGGGUAAAGGGUUCCUUUUCUUUUGGAUUAUGAUUGCCCUUACUGUUGGUUUCCUUCUUUCAUUACCUUUACAGCUCUUAUUUUCCUUGUUAGGGAUUUCUAAGAUAUUUUUGGUUACUUUUCCAUGCAUGGCAAGUUAUAUUUGAUCAAGAGGAUUAUGUUAAUGAUGUGGAAAGGGGUGUUGUUUGGGAAGAAGUUAUUAUCAUGCUUCCAAGGCAUAUCCACGGUACCAAAUACGAUUGAAUUUGCUGAAUGGAUUGGUUGAACGAAACAAAAGAAAAUUCGUGUAACCGGGUCCAUCUGAUGGAUUUAUCUUCGCUUUGAUCCUAGUGUUGAAUUUAUUAGUAUGUAACAAUGAGUAGGGAUGGGAUUGUGCUUUUAUUUUUGUUACAUUUUCAGAAUUAGCUUUAUACCAUUUUUUGGUUCAUGAUGAGGUUCAUUGGGGAAACUGAUGAGAGAAUAUUACUUCAGUUUUGAGCCACAAAACUUCUUGACUUUCAGUCAAAUGUAUUGGAAAUCCGCUUCUAUGAGAAAAAAGGCAUUCUCCUUAGACUUCUUGAUCGUCCUAUAGUUAUUAUAGUUUUCGUACUUGUUGGUACUUGAGGCUUUCUCCUUAGAUAUGAUUGAACUAUCAAGUAUCUCAGUUUAUUCUCUAUAGUAUAUGCAUGUACUACCUGACCAAAUGUUAUGAUUUCUUGUCUGCAUUUGUUCCUGUUUACAGCUACUUGUUUUAACUGAAAGAAUCUAACUUGUUGAAUGAUUGAGCUUUAGUCUUUAGUAUCUAGCUCUUACAUGUAAGCUGCUGUAGCUUUGACUUUAUUAUAGGCAACCUUACGAAUUGCAGCUAUGGCUGGAACAAAUGAGUUUCAGCAAAAUAUAUUUCUUGGUCUCAGAAAGACUGGAUAAUACUAAAGAUAGGCAGAUAGAGGGAACAAACGGUAGGAAGGAAACAAGCCAUUGGAAUGCAAAGGGCUUCCCUAUGUUUAAAUUAUGAAUUUGUCUCAUUCAUGAGUAUGGAUCCUCUCAUACCGUUUUUGGAAUAAUACAAACCAAUCUUAAUUGGUGAACCACUAAACUCAUUGAUAUGGGCUGUGCCUCCCAUCAUUUCCCAAAACAGCCGUACCCUCUCUCAUAUGGGAAAUAGCCUCCGGCCGAAAUGAUCAUGUAUUGGCCGACAAUAUUUACUGCAAUCAGUGAAUUUUUUUUGUGCAAUUAUCCUAAUUAGUUUUACUCAUGGGCUUAGUUCCCUUUUCUUGAAUUUGAGUACAAGUAGGUAUAUGGUUAGGAUCUUAGGAUGAAAUAAAGGGUUGGAUGCUUUGCUACCUAGUUUGAAUUUGCACCCUCUCACCCUCUCUGUGUGUGUGUGUGUGUGUCAAACACCCUUCCUGUGGUCUGCACAAUUCUCAACCAAGUAUGUUUUGGCAGUUAAUUCUAAUUUGCUCAUUUCUGGUUUGCUAUAAAAGUGUCUUACUUAUGAAUUCUGCAAUUAGCCUUCUGCUUUCUUUUUGUUCAUUUUCAUGUUUCCUUUUUCAUCUUCACACAAUUAUAGUUCAGCACACUACAAUGUCCAUUUGCUUGCUUUUGACUUUCAACUUCAAAGGCUGUUAUUUCUAGGCAUCUAGGUGACGCGAGUAGCCAAAAAGCCCAAUAAAGAAGAUUCUGAGAUCAGUGGAAAAGCAGCAAAAUCUAGCGUGAUGGAAGCUGGUUUGGAACCUGAGAAGCCAAAUAGUGCAACUCCAGUAGUCAGUGUUCAUGAAAAGAAAUGGACUGUUGGUAGUAUUCUGCUGGAUGCAGUCUCUAUGAGUGUUGGAAAGGUAAAUACGAAUAUUAUCAUUUCUAUUUAACUGGCUAGCGCUGAAAUAGAACCUCUAACUGUCACCUUGGCUCUUAAGGGAGCUUUCAACAACAAUCAUGACUUAGGCAAGCUUAGCAAGUUAGCAACAUUACUAACAAAUGAGUUACAAAAAUAGUUUUGCAUUAUUUGAUUCAUAGGAAUGAAGGCGGAUUGGAAUAGUUUUUUUCUUGGAAUGAGCAUUCCAACAUUUGGUUGCUAAUCAAUGAUCAAGCUAUUCUAAUCUUCUAAAUGGAGGGGAUGAUCCGAUUCUUUUGUAUAGUUAUUAGUUAUCAAUCAAUACUCUUGUAAUAAAAGAACGUAGGAUGGCAAGCCAAGUCAUGUGGUGGAAUUACGUUUUUGCCCUUUCAAGUUUGGCAUGUGUUUUGUUUUUCCCUUCGUUUGGUUGUCCAAAAUUUGCUCCUAGACUGCCCUUGCUUCGGCGAUGAAUCGAGAGCGAAGAAACUUUUGCUUCGUUGUCCGGAUUUUGCUCCCAGACUGUCCUUCCUUUGGCGAUCGAUCGAGAGUGAAAGGAACGAGUUCUUGAUUCUCCGGAUUUCACUCAUCUAAUUUCUACUCUUUUUGGAUUUCACUCGUCUAAUUUGUACUUCUUAGGCGCUUGAGUUCCUUAUUUUACUGAAGAAUCUGUACUAUGUCAAGCUCAAGACACUGUUUUUGCGGCUGUUGCCGUCCUUCAAAGUAGAGCCGGGAUUUUUAAUUGCUUCAUCAUUCAUUUGUUGCUUGACUAGAUUGGUUAGGCUACAACAAAGAAGAUGAGUGAGCAGAGGGGAUGAAACUGGUGCGAAACGCAUAAAUGGGAGAUCUGAACCAGGAACCGGGCUCAUUGGGAUGGAAAUAGUCAGUUUCUAGUUUUUCACACAACCAACAAAGGGGGUAUA